GAUUAACGCUGGCGGCGUGCCUAACACAUGCAAGUCGAACGAUGAAACUUAGUAGACUUCUUCGGAAAGACACUAAGCGGAUUAGUGGCGAACGGGUGAGUAACGCGUGAGUAACCUGCCUUACACAAGGGGAUAGCCUUUGGAAUCGAAGAAUAAUACCCUAUAAAACUAUAAAAGCACAUGCUAUAAUGGUCAAAGUGAUAGCGGUGUAAGAUGGACUUGCGUCUGAUUAGCUAGUUGGUGAGAUAAAAGCUCACCAAGGCAACGAUCAGUAGCCGGCUUGAGAGAGUGUACGGCCACAUUGGGACUGAGACACGGCCCAGACUCCUACGGGAGGCAGCAGUGGGGAAUUUUGCACAAUGGGGGAAACCCUGAUGCAGCGACGCCGCGUGAUUUAGAAGGCCUUCGGGUUGUAAAAAUCUUUUGUAUAGGAAGAAAAUGACAGUACUAUACGAAUAAGGUCCGGCUAAUUACGUG
rnacentral:rRNA from 1 species